ACCGCCCGCUGCGCGGAGCCCGGCGGAGCCCGGCGGGGCAGGCGGCGGAGCCGGGCAGCUCCAGGAAUUGAAAAAAUCGGAAUGGUAAGCGCAGUUAUUUGCUAAGGCAAAAUUUUUGUGGAAGUUCCUUCUCUGGAAGCUUCUGUUUCUAGAAAUGACAAUUCACCACAAGCUUCUCAGCACUACCGUAGUGGUAGUAUCCAUGCCGUGGCAGAAGAGGAAGAGCUUCUGGAACUGACCAAGGUCGUGAGACGGUUGAGACACUCCAGGUUCAAUGUAAUCUCAUUGGGCACCAGCAGUGGAACUGUUCUGUUCAAAAUGGUUUACGGUGAAUUUUUCCGCAGACCUGGCAAAGAUGCAGAACUUAUCAAUUUGAAUGUGGGUGGCUUUAAGCAAUCAGUGGAUCAAAGCACUUUGCUCCGGUUUCCUCAUACCAGACUUGGGAAACUUCUCAAAUGCCACUCAGAAGAGGCUAUUCUGGAACUAUGUGAUGAUUAUAGUGUUGCAGAUAAGGAAUAUUACUUUGACAGGAACCCUUCCUUGUUCCGAUAUGUUCUGAAUUUUUACUACACUGGGAAACUUCAUGUCAUGGAGGAGCUUUGUGUCUUUUCCUUCUGCCAGGAAAUAGAAUACUGGGGGAUAAAUGAGCUGUUUAUUGAUUCCUGCUGCAGCAAUCGGUACCAGGAAAGGAAAGAAGAAGGUCCUGAGAAAGACUGGGAUCAGAAAAGCAAUGACAGAAGCAUCGACUCCUCUAACGAAGAAUCAUCCAUAUUUGAUAAGGAGUUGGAAAAGUUUGAUAAUCUGUGCUUUGGUGAAAUAAGAAAGAAGAUCUGGGUCAGAAUGGAAAAUCCUGCAUACUGCUUGUCUGCCAAGUUAAUUGCCGUGUCCUCCCUAAGUGUUGUCCUGGCGUCAAUCGUGGCAAUGUGCAUUCACAGCAUGCCUGAGUUUCAGAGGCUGGAUGCCAAUGACAGGGAGAUUGAAGACCCUGUGCUGGAAGCUGUGGAGAUUGCGUGCAUCAUCUGGUUCACUGCUGAGCUAGUGAUCAGGCUCAUCACUGCCCCAAGUCAAAAGAAGUUCUGGAAGAAACCACUGAAUAUCAUUGAUUUUGUCUCUAUUAUUCCAUUUUAUGCCACCUUGGCUGUGGACACGAAGGAAGAAGAAAGUGAAGAUAUUGAAAACAUGGGAAAAGUGGUUCAGAUCCUGCGGUUAAUGAGGAUAUUUCGCAUCCUGAAACUAGCCAGGCACUCUGUAGGACUCCGAUCUUUAGGCGCUACUUUGAGACAUAGCUACCAGGAAGUUGGACUUCUCCUUUUGUUUUUGUCUGUUGGGAUUUCUAUUUUUUCAGUUCUUGUCUACUCAGUGGAGAAGGAUGAUGACUCAUCAGAACUGCACAGCAUCCCCGUUUGCUGGUGGUGGGCAACCAUCAGCAUGACCACUGUUGGUUAUGGGGACACUUACCCAGUCACGCUUGCUGGAAAGCUGCUCGGCACCCUAUGCAUUAUCUGUGGGAUAUUAGUGGUAGCACUUCCAAUCACCAUUAUUUUCAAUAAGUUUUCUAAGUACUAUCAAAAGCAAAAAGAUAUUGAUCCAGACCAAUGCAACAAUGAUCGCAAAGAGAAAUGUAAUGACCUACCUUAUUUUAACAUUAGGGAUAUUUAUGCAAAAAAGAUGCACUCGUUCAUUUCUAGCCUUUCAUCAGUAGGAAUUGUAGUCAGUGACCAAGAUUCAACAGAUGCCUCCAGCAUUCAAGAUAUGGAGGAUGUUUAUAACACAACAUCUUUAGAUAAUGGUAUAGGAAAAUGAGUUAAUUUACUUUCUCCUUCCUUUUUUUCUCUCUUCUGAUCCUUGGUAAAUGUGGAUUUAGAAACUUCAGUGAAUUUAUUAAGAGCAGUUAAUUCUCAGGGUACUUAACUCUCAGCCAUAUUUGGACAUUCUUUGCUCUGAGGAUGCCAUACAGGCUUCAUUGUUUAUAUGAGGCUUUAAAAUAUGCCUCAUAUGGUGGUUUAGCUUUUACACAACUAAUGAUAUGCAUUUUGGGGAGGAAAAAAAAAAAAGUCAGGAAAACAGUUUUAAAUGUGAGACUGGUGUUUAUUUUUAUUUUAUUUUUUUUCUUGCAGCAAUCUGAUAGCUUAUAUGAUAUUUGCUUUUAUAAUUUGCUGCUCUUCAGGUAAACAUAUAUUGCAAACAUAUAAGAACAUCACAUCAGUAAAAUGGCAUAUCAGUAAAGUCUUUACCUGCAAACACAUUAGAAGAAAGAAGGAAUUAUGUACAUGGAAAACUGUAAAACAUUUAUGUAAUCUCGGAGCUGGGAAACAACUUCCCAAGCUGGGACAGAAAAUGUAUGGGUACAUACUGUUUUUACUCCAUGGAAGCAUAAUAUUUAUGAAUUUCCAAAAGCACAAUACAUUUUUAGUUUAUUAAAAUAAAUUAAUCCCAUUGUGCCUGUAUUUUUCCCAGUGUUCCACAUCCAGCAUGGCCAAGCUCGGGCAGGUCCCAAAGGGUCUAAAUCAUGAGUCCUAGGAUGAAGCAUGUGGCCUAGGGCUGGACAGGAGUGUAUUGUACCUUUUAGCCACCUUUUCUGUCAUUGCAAACCUGAGCAAUUCUGGUGCCUGGAGAGGAUUCUGCUGUGAUUAAGACCACCCUAGUGGCUUCCCCAGAGGCUCUGUUUUGUGGGCAUUGAAGCAAACAUCUGUGGUGGUCUUUAGAAGUUAUUGGUCCCUGCUGUCAGCUCUGCUUCCUUGCUGGAGGUUAGAAGAAAAUGUGAGCAGCAUCUCAACUGCACUGGUUCUCAGUCCAAGACUGUAGUGACAAGGAAUGGAGAUGAAUGGACAUGCUCUCUUCUACCAUAUAUUGCCCCUCAGAGAGGUAGGGUGUGCAAUGCAGGUAGGCACCCAUAAGUAAAACUGUUGCAGCUCAUUUUUCUAAGGCUUUUCUGUUGAUGACAGCAGCCUUCCUGGCUUGUGCUAUGGGCUGGAGCAGCACUCAUUGCCUGGCAGAGUGCUGCAGCACUGUGCAUCCCUCUCUUCUCCAGGGAUUUCUUAUGCAGCUAGCUAAACCCACUCUGGUUCAAACUGUAUCUUCUAGAGCUACUUAAAAGGGAAGCUGGCCCUUGAGCAUAGCAAGAAUGAAUGCUGGAAAAACUUGAGGACAUUAUAGUAGUUAAUAGUAUUUGUGAACACAGGUUUUUUUUAGGUUUUAUUUUGGUCAUUUUUCUGGUGACUAAAUUAGAUGCUGGGCAAUGGAGAAUCCAAGCUACUGUGAUGUUGAUAUUUUACUUAAGGGAAGGUUUCAUUUUUUUUUAUUUUUAUUUUUUUUGUAAUCUCAAUUGUGGGCUGAAUCAGUUUCUACUCAGGCAGAUCAAACUCAAUAGGAGUUGACUUCAAGACUGAGUAAACCCAGAUGGCAAUCAAUUACUCUGCAGAAUAACUCAGAAGGCUGAUUUUUCAGGUGUGUGCCAGCAUUUCUACUGCAAAGUACACUGAGUAACUAGCUGAAGUGCACUCGUACUUGCUGCGGCACAGAGCUCCAACCUCUUCCCAGGAGAAUGAGAAAAAAACAAUGGGGUGGAUCAACCUAUACCCUGGAGGGAGGUGUCCCUCAGGACUGUUGUGCACCAACAUAAUAUUGUGGGACUACUCUGAGCUUUGGAGAAACUUAAGAAUUUGGCUUAUUGUUGAGUAUUGUAAGUGUAUGUGAUGCUUCACAGAUAAUUUAGGUUAAUUCUUCCCAUUGUUAAUGCAGGAAAACCAAAAGGGAAAGUUAGCCUAGAUGUGUUUUGUUCUUAGUGAACAAUUAGCAUUACAAAGAUGCAAUGAUAUAAAAUGCUAAAUAUGUAUGUGCAUGUGAAUGUAAUAAGAACCAGAAGAAUAACAGCAUAAAAAUUGCUCUGUCCACAGAAACUCUCUUGGCAGUUUCCACAUGAAGAUAAAUCACAUUGCCAUUGAAGUUCAAAAGGAAUGAAUAAAAAAAAGAUUGUAAUAAAAAAUAUUGUAAUGCAAGAAAAACUGCAAGAAAUUUCUAUUAAAUCAUAGAAAAAAACAUGCUAUUGAAAAAUCUCAUUAUAUAUAUUAAACAUUACCCAAAGAUCACAGAAAAAAAUGUACUAAACUGUAAUUUAUCAUAAAAUUCAUAAGUUCUUGAUUGAUCACAUGAAUCAAUCUUAAAAAUAUGACACUAGUUCCUCUGACUUUUUUUUAAUGCAUAGAUAAAUCUUGCAACACAGUGAGGCAUAUCAUUUGGACCAUAUCAGAAGGUAGAAUACAUACCCAUGUGUUAUGCAAUGUGUUAUUCUGGGAUGAGACCAGAGCUCUGUUAAUAUCAGUUGUAUCUUAUUAAAAGGGCUUUGUUGUUGUCUGUUUCUUCUGCUGGAAUAAAUCCAGCACCGCAGUUUGGCAUGACAUGGAGCAUAUAACAUGCACCAGUUCAGGAAAGUGACAAAAGUCUUGAGUGCCAGCAAAAAGCAGACGGGAGUAAAUACAAAGAUACUACUCUUUCUGCUAGUGGUAGUUUUAGUAGAAUUUACUGUUAAGAAAUGAGUGUAAGAGGAGAUUUGUUUCUUAUUUAUUUCAUCUUCUUUCCUGGUCUAGAGUUAUAUAGCAUCAACACAGUAUCCUGUACCACAUGCUUUUAUCUUUUAAAAUGCUGCCUAAAUUCUCUUCACUCAGCUGCUGUUUCAGAUACUAAAACACAGAAAAGGUUAUGUUCGGAUAUGCAUCCCACUUUGUAUGGGAGCAAUUUGCUUAUCUUUAUACAAAGCAGUUUUCUGGCACAUUAUUAGUUUCUUUGUCUUGAUGGCAAGCACUUCCCUUUUGAUAUUCAGUAUUUCCACAGUAGCAGCCGUGCUAGCAGAGUUCUCACCCAGUGUGGUGUAGGAUGAGGUAUCGCCCAGCUUCCCCCAGCUCAUGCCCUGCCGGGAGCAGUCUCUGUCACUGUCACGUUUUGGUGUGUGUCAGGAGACUUUAAAAGGCAAAUGUAGAGGAACAAGAGGGAGGUCUUUCUGAGUCCAGAAAGGCAUCUUUCAUUUAACUGGUCAGCAGCAGGCAGAGCUUAGCUGGGGUGAAAUUAGUGAGUAGUCUUAUUGUGUGUAUGGACACUCUUAUGGGCUGUGCUUUUUUGUGUAGGAAAAGUCACUAUGUGGUACAAAUGAGUGGCAAAGCAUAAACAUAAGCUAAAUAAGUGAUAACACAUCUGUGUCAGGCAAGGAAACAAAAUACAACUUACUGGUUAGGUAGAAAUUAGUGUCAGGCACUCUAAUGCAAAAUAUUACAAUUUAAAAGCAGACCCUGGUCUGAUUUCCAUGCGAACAAGUUGCUGUCAGGGAAUGCUGAAAGUGUCAGGCAGCUUUGCCUGGUAAAUGCAGCACACGGUCUCACCCGGGCCGGGAUGCUGUGUAUUAAUGCAUUUAUUCAUUUCCACACAUCCCUAACAAGUUGAACAAGUGACAGAAAGCCGCUAAGCUAUGGAAAGCUUCUCUGAUAUUUUUUGAUUAGCUGACAGUGUUUGUGAAGCUGCUAAUACCUCUUCAUCCGAAAAAGAACAUUUCUGAAAUAAAAUCAAAAUAACCUUGUGCUAGAUGUGCAAUUUGUGUCUGAUAGCAGUAGCUCGGUUGCAGUCAGUAAAUAUUGCUGUCUGGUGCUCUAUAGCUGCAGUGCUGCUGCUUGUAUUUCUGAGAUGUUUAUGUUCUGUCAAUCAAGAGGCAGCAGAUGCCAUUAAACCAUCUCAGCACUUUCUGCUGCAUCAUAAUUGCAGCAUCUCUUCUAAGCACAGCAAAACAUCACGACUCACUGUGACUUACUUUUUUAAAUUUCUUAUGUGGUUGGAGUUAAUUUUUCAUGAUGGGCCUAUGGUCCAAACAUGAUCUAGCAGAAGGAAGAGCCAUUGUGUGCUUCUGGACAGGUUACAAGGUGUUGGCAUUUAUUUCCACUCUGGAAGUUGCCUUUCCACCUGACUGGAAUAGCUAAGGAAGGACAAACAGCAGUAAUUCAUAGUUAAGGAGCAAAAGGCAGCCUUCCUUCAGGUGUAAUAAUUAGAAUAAAUAUAAAUAUGACUGCUUCCUUGAGAAAUGAUCUACAUCUCAUUUAUUUUUAACGAAUAUAUUGGAGGGGGCGGUCUUUGCUUGGGAUAUAGGCAGAAAAAUAAGUCAAAGGCUCUCUCAUCCAAACCCACAUCUGAUUACCCCAGAUCUCAUAUCAGUGGGAGGGAAAGACUUUGCACCACCCUUAACACGACCAUGAACCUCCUGGCCAAGGAACUGGGUUUCCAAAUUGAGGGCUGGUUGUGGAGGAAAACCCAUUUCUGGCAUCUGGCUGGAAAGAGCCUCUCUUGUUUCAGCCAUGACAGUGUGGUGCCAUGAAUGAGGAACUCUUAACCAUUUCAGUGUUUUGUUGAUUAAAAGCAAUAUUAUGUGGUUUCCUGUAGUGAUUUAUUAAGGUAAUCUUACACUGUUUCUUCAAGACUAUUUCAAGUCAGAGCUCAAGAAGGCAUUACAAGUACAAUGGUUUAAUCUUUAGUUAAUCUCUACUAUUUAAUGACAUAUAUACUGUUUAAUUUUCCUAUUUUUUUUUUUUAUGGUAUUCAACAGUAUUUCCACUCAAAUUCUAUUAUAACUCACACACAAGUAUGCUGGACAUUAUUAUGAUGUAAUUUGCUCUCAUUGUCUUGGGAUCUUUUAUGAAUCAGCACAGAGAGAAGGGCACCGUGGGCAUUAUUUAUGUCAUCUAACUUCAGCUAUUUUGUCGCUGAUCAUCUGGACUAUCUCUGUCAACUGAGAAAAAACAAACCUCUUCAGGAAACAGCAGAUCCUAUGUACACAAAGGUCCUCUUUGAAGAUGGGACACACGUCUGUUGGCUAUGCAGAAAGCCUGUAUGGUUUAGUUAGGUUAGAUGCCUGGCCUUCAGGCAGAUAAAGUUAGAUGUGAUGGGUGCAACACCACAAGGUGUAGGCACUUGACUGUCCUCUGGUGGUGACAUCCCCUGAACAGUAUAUAUGUAGGAAGGGCCGUGUUUCUGAUGUAGGUGUUUGAACCUGGGUGACAUGAAGACAGACACAGGAAUUUAUUCUGCAACCUUAAUGUUGCUCAGUGAUGGCUGCUGGGUAGGAAUUAAUUCGGCAUAAUAUUGCUAAAAAAGGCUUCCUGUACAAGAAGACUCGGACUUUCCCAAAAAGCCUUGCUAGCUGUCUGUUAAAGUCUGGAAUAACCUGCAAGUUGAACUUCAAUUUCCUGUAGUAAUUAAAAACUACAUGUAAUAAAAUACCAGAGGGAGCAUACCAGUAUUGGCAGAGGCAGGCACAAUAUGCUGACAGUACUUUUGUGACCCAAAUUUGCAUUAUUUCUUGGCUUCCUGUAAGCUAUAUAAAAUUUUCCGACUGUGCCAUGUGUUAUAAAGUCUGUACAUUAAUAUAAAUAUUAUAAUGGAGCCAAGUCCUGGUAUUACAGCUGUGAAGCCAGAAAAAAAAUUUCCAAGCUUGGAGAAAAUGUAAAAAUAUUGUUUGGCUACAACUGCAAUUUUAACAUUGUAGCUGCCUCAGUGUUGGGGAGGACAAGGGACCAACACAGGUGCUGGUACUUGGGCUUCCCUUUCCCCCUUUGCACAGUUAGUACUGAGCUCUUCUUGGUAGUGCGUAGAGGCUGAGGGACCUGUAUAACCUUGGUGAUGACUCCAAAGACCCUUCCUGGGGCUACUAUGUUUGUGGUCCUAGAAAGGAAUGGUUAUAGGUGAGAGUAUAAAGAGGUCUGUGUGGAAUAAACAGCCUUUCAGGAGAUGGAAUAAUAUCUUUGAAUUUGAUGUCCCCAUGUUCCUACACCCCUAAGAAGCAACCUGGGAGAGAAAGCAGGCAGAGAGAAAGGGAGAAGUUCAAGGUCCAGAUAUUUAGCUAAAGCCAUUUGGAGUCUACUCUGUGUUGAUCCAUGUGCUCUCAUGGAAUCACAGGUAGAGAUUUAUAUAUAACUUUGAACCUGUUCCACUAGAUGCAAUAAUACAUUUUCUUCCCACAGGCUUUUUGUUGCAGGUACAAUAUGUCCUUUUCUCUAGGCCAGCUUCUAGCCGUGAUGCUGUAUCUGCUUUUCACGCUGACUGGAGGUUGGAUGUUUCUGAAGCGUUACACACGCUAUAAAUUAUCCUUGCAGCUUCUACCCUAUUUCCUAGAAACCUCAAAACUGCAAGCAUGAAAGAGUUCAAUCUGUUUGUCUGUCCAAUAUUAUUUUUUGACAGAAUCAAAUGUCAAAAUGUAUUUGGACUGUGGAUCUUUGGAAAAAAAGUGUGGUGAAUAACUGUACAAAGAGCCAGCUUAAUGCUCGGAAGUGCACAAGGAUUUUGUAUGAAGCAGGAGGAUGUUGGUGUCUGACAGCAUAACUUCACAAGCCUCCUGGGUGGAAGGAAAAACAGAUUUUAUUUAUUUAUUUAUUUUUCAUUCUUUUUCUCUGAAUAGUUCAGGCGGAUAUGGAGUAACAAUCUUGCUGUGCUGUGGUGACUGAGUGUUGAAUGAAAUGAUGGGUACAUUGAAGUUAAGGCUAUUAAAAACUAACAUGACUUCUUUGUAAACACCCCCCUCCCCUGGGUCAAUGACUUUUCAUGUUGUUACAACUUUUUCUGAACAAAAAAGCAUAACAUAACAAAAGCACAGCAAUAUUUUUCCUUGCAGGGUUUUUUUUAAAGACUAAAUUAGCUGUAGUUAUAGGUGUGGAAAGAGAAAUGGCUGGUGGGCAGGAUGUUGGGCUGUGUGGAAUUUAUUAGAAUUUAUUUUGCAAUUCUGUUCUUUUGCUUUUGGCACUACACACUUUUUUUUUUUCUUUUUUUUUUUUUUGGUAGUAACUGAAGAAUCAAAAUAAAUAAUAUAUGAAUAUAUUCUUUUCUGGAUUCUGGAGGUUUUUUUUGUUUGUUUUGUUUUUUUUUUUAGACAAUUGAAUCUGGAGGAAAAAAUAUGAUGCAUCAUCUAUAUUGUUAUAGGUCUAGAGGAUGAAUUAUAAUCUCAUCAGAAGCAUUCCUAACCAACAUAUAGAUUCACACAGAGAUCAUCAGAGCUUUAGAGCUUUACAGAAGAAAGAAAGGGCAAAGCAAAGGAAAAUAUGCAGUUUAGUCACAGCUGUGCUCAGUGAGGUUUAGUAAUCCCUGUACCAUAGGUCCCUCCAGUCCUUCUGUUUCUGGUCCUCAUGGAUGGGAGAUGUUUGUAAAGCUGUUUUUGGAUAGGUCCCAUGUUCAAGGUUGUUAUGUUCCUGCAUCUUUCCUACACAGAGGAGUAUAUUAAAGUUAGUCCACAGGGCACUCUGACUUUUUCAGGAGAGGGGAGUGAUGGCUUACCUUCAUUUUUUCUGGAAGACAGAUCCACUAUGUCUAUAUCUCCCUCUUUUACUGAUUUUUUUAUACCCCCCUCCCCCCCUUUUAUUUUUUUUCCCCUCCUGAGAUAGUAUGAGAUGGCAGGACUUUAUUCAGCAUUUUAAAAAAAAUAAAAAAAGACUAUUGUCUUUUACUUUGUAACUUUGUGACUGCUGGUUUUGUCAAAAUCAUAGAUUUCUUUUAUCUGGUCAGCAAAUUAUUUCCAUCCAUCUGUAGCCCCAGAAACUUGCCUGGAUCUUGGAAGUGCAUCUGGUCCCAAUUUCAAAUUGAAUUGCCUCAUUUUUACUUGACACGAGUGCAUGUGGACACUUAGCUCAUAAUUCCAUUUCUAUGCAUCACAAUCCAAGAAGAAAUCUCUCACCCAAUCCCUUCCCAGCCCCCAAAAAAAUGUCAGUACCUCCCUACUGUAGCUGUUUGUCUGUUGUAAGUUUUGCAAAUAGUAUUUACAGUGUGGAAGAACUGUGCAGGGGAAGCACAUGCCUCCUUCUGUGAGCUCCUAAUUGUAUGCAUAAGCUUUUUGUGGGAGUACUGAAGAUGAAUUGCAUUACUGAUGUCAGUGAACCUCUCUUUUUGUCCAGUCACUGCCAUUCUUUGUGGGGUCCUUUCAGCUGGCUAUAUAAAGGUAGGAGAAUAAGAAGUUAUAUGACAAGAGUCAGCUACGUAGGUCAGGCAGCCUUUUUCAUUAGUUAACUCUCGUACUUGUGAGCUUCUCAGAUGUUCCUAAAAAUGGUCAAACCAAGUUUCAAAGUAAACAGAGAUUAGAAAAUACCUGUAUUUUACAUCCCUCUGAACACCAAGGAUGUUUAUAGUAACUAAAAGCUCAAUAGUCUUUGUACAUGGCUGGGCUGAGUUCAUUAGACAACAUAACUGUAGUCUAAUUGGUUUCAAUUAACUUUUGCUCUCCGGAUACUCUGUGGAGAGCCCAAGCUGAGCUCUGCCGGAGGUCAGAGUUAGACGGGACAUGCAAAAAGCAGCUGGUUGCAGACAACCACUAAACUGACUUCUUGUUCUGUAGCAGUCAGUCUGAGCUGUGACAGGGUGGUAGCAGCAGAGUAAUCGCUGACCUCUGAAGUCUUUGCAUCCUGUCCUGGGCUUACCAGCAUUUAUCAGCCCUAGUAGUGGUUUUGUUUCAUUUCAGCAUAAAGCAUUUGCUUUAAAAUCUACUUUGAUGAGUAGUAUUGCUCAUAGGAUGACAGAGAGUCUGAGUGCAUUAACUGAUAAACUGGCUUGGGAAUGGCUUAUUAGCAUAAGUAUUAAAUAUGAGAUUCAGCAGUGACUAAUGGGUAAUCCUUUUAAUCCCUCUCUCUGACAUAUUCCAGCCUAUGACAGAAAGAGGUAGAAUAGAAAGAGGAUAGGUUAAGAGACCUGGCAACUUUGGUGAUUAUUAGCAGUUUACACAGUAAUAUAUAUAUAUAUAUAUAUAUAUUUGUCUUUUCUUGGGUAUCACUAAUAAUAAUUGGUAUGUCCAUGGCUUAUCUACAUAAUUAGCAAAAUAUAUUGUUACUUGAGAAUUUGAGGCUUAAUUAGACAGAUGUUUUAGUUUAACCAUUUGAUAAUGUUUAGUUUCAUUUGAUAAUAUUUGCUCACAGAAUAAAAUGUUUCUCUGUUUCCUUACCUCUUCACUUGUAAAAGGCAGUGGAGAUUUGGUAUAUAUCAUCCUUAAAUUCAAUGAAUUAAUGUGAUUUCUGCAAGAGAUUUCAGGCGGUGUUUUUCUAGUCUAUGAAAAAACAGCAAAAUUAUUAUAUGGAAAAAUAUUUGAAAUGACUGGAGUGGUUGAUUUUCAUCUGAGACAUCCAAGCUUUUUGUUAGCACUAUUAAAAUAUUUUUAGAGAGACAUGCAAGUUCAUGAAACUGAUUUCCUGCUGAUCUGUCUAAGCAUGGACUAUGUCGUAAAUCAGGUUAUUAAUAGCCUGAACCAAAGGGUCAGUGUGUGUCAGUAGAUGAAAAAUAGAUAAAAAGUAACUUUUUAAUUAUUUGAAGAUUGGCUGAUAUAUCUCAAACUCAUAAAGAAUCUCUGUGGAUGAAAUACAACCAUUUUUUUUGUGUGUUUUCCUUUGGAUUAUUGAAUAGGAGCAGGACUUGCAGAGAUGAUAUUUAAAAAUUUUGAAGACUUUGGAGAUAUUAUUUUACAAAUUAUAUCUUGUCUUCUUUGGCCAUAAAAGAGAUUUUCUUAAGCAGUUUGAUGUGCUAGUACUCAUAACUGUAAGAUGUGAGGAUGAUUGUUUCCUGGUCCUGAAUGAAGCAAGACAUUAUAAAGCUAAAAUGCAAAGCUUUUAGCUGUACUGUCAGCUGCUUGGAAAACAACAUCUUCACUACAGCGGGCAGAAGUUGGACAAAGUAACUAAUCCAUCUGGCUUCAAAUCUGGACAGAUUCUCCCAGAAGAUGGCAGUGCACCUAUGGGUAGUGUUCAGCCAGCUUUGCAAGCCAUAUCAUUUCUAGCUGUUUUUCAGAUGUUGUGUGCAAUAACAAAACCAAGUAAUGAAAGUUGUGUGUGGAUACAAAGGGCACUUUUGAUGCUGAUAUCUGAAGUGAACAUAGGUGUUCCAGAAAGGCUGUAUGUCCUGCAUGGAUGGUAAUGGACUGGACACUUCUGGAUAGGUCAGUAAAUUGUUUAGCAUGCUGAAGCACCAAUCAGCAUUCUGAAGGUCCCCUUUCCCUUGGAGUCCUACAGAUAAUCCCUAUGCAAAACCCACAUCCAGAGCUUUAAAAUGUGUCUCGGUUCUAAAAGUGUCAUUGCUUGCAGAGGAGCAGAUCAAUGUAGGAUAACAGUAACUAAGAAAUGGAGGAAAUUAUGACAUUUAAAAUUCUGGCUAUGCUACUUCUUUGCUCCACAGUUUCUCAUUUGUCCAAACAGGGAUCAAAAGUUGAUGUUCAGAAAAAAAAAAACACAAAAAGGACUACUUCUUUAUUAGUUCUAGUCUAAGAGCAAUAAGUAAUUUCUGCAAAUAUAGGGAUAUUUCCAGUUCAGUUUCUAAAGUUGUAGUCUAAGUAUGGAUUUUCAUAUGUGUAAUCAAAUGAGAACUACUUAACCUUUCAGAAAUUCAUCCACCUCUUAUCAUUUUAUUUCAGAAUUAGCAGUAGAGAAUGCUAAUAUCCCUUUUAAAAAAUCCAGCCCAAUUUAUAGCUAUAAUUUACAAAUAAAAGUUACUAGCUCUUCGGCAGUGCUUGUUUUAUGAACUGUUUGAUAUGCAUGUAUUUACAUGUAUGAACAUGUGAUGUAACUGAAUGAAGAGGGAAGGGAGUUUGUGAAGAGGGGAGGGAGAAGAGAGGAGCUUUAGAAAUAUAGCAAUGCUUACAGGUAAAUUUUGGAACAAAAGUUUACCAUCCAUGUUCUGUCUUACCCAGAAUUACUAUGUACCUAGAGAAGAUUUAAAUGUUUAUUCUUUGCAGCUUAGUUUGAAAAAAGUUCUGUUAUGGCUCAUCUGUAACCACUUAUUUAGUUUUCCAAACAGCAAAAAUGCACUGGUAGUAAAAAUAAUAAUAAUAACAAAAAAAAAAUGCAGCUGUUUCCUUAAUGUAAAGAAGAGAUUAAAACAAACAAACAAACAAACAAACAAACAAAAAAAACCACAAUUUUGUGUUCUUGUUCUGCAGUCAAAUAUAAUUGCAUAUUAUUGUUCUCCUGCUUAGACACUGUAGGUGCUAGUUUUACUAAACUAACAUGAGCUGCAUAGUUUCCUUUGAAAAAAAAAAAAAAAAGCACAAAACCAAACAAAAAAUUAAAAUGUUGUUGUAGUUGUUUUUACUUUCCUCCUCCAGUAAGUCAUGAGAGCUGUGAGAUACAUUAUGUUUUUAAAUUGUAGAUGUCUGCCCUCUGUUUUAAAAGUGUGUUUGUCUUCAUCAUAGAACAACCAUCGUUAGUUUCUUGGAGGACUCAUCUGUGAUUGGACUUGACAUGACCAUAAAGUUAGUCAGACAAAAUCUUCCUUAUUUCCUGAAGGGAUAAAGCAGCACUUUCCUAUUCAGAUGGCCAACAAGCCUGUGCAACCCAUCUUUAAUGGAAAAAAUCACAAUCCAUAAGUAAUAUGAAGGGGACAGUGGUGACAGAUUUGAUCCUAUCACUCAUUCACCAGUAGAGCCUAUCGCUAAUUCCCAUUUCAACACCCAAUAACCACCCUUUCACUACUGAAAGGCAUCCUACCCCUUUGUCAGGAGAGGGCUUACAUUAAAUCCAACACUUCCUCCCCACCAAUCACUUUUUAAACGUAAUUCAUCUGAUGCCUGCACAUCUCCCACUGUGCGACUGACUGAGCUCUUGGGUCCUGUGCUCCAUACUGUGCCUGUUGACUGUCACUGUGUAACCUAGAUAUGCUGUGAUAUGUAAAUGAUACUGCUUGCUAUUUUCUUGCUCCUUUUGCGUAAAAUCUCAAUAAAAGUGAAAAUUAACACUAGUCAAACUGUGCAAAUAUCUUGGCUGACUAUUCCACAAUAAGGCAAGCUACCUCAGCACCAAUAAAAUUUUGACAUUA